GUUUUCUCCUCGUCCCAACCGCGUCACCCUCCUUUCUACUCCCUCCCAAAACUGAUCAGCUCGAGAGGGAGAGCCUCUGCCUCUCCGCCGCUCAAGUUCUUGCCGCCGGCCGCAAGGAUGACAACCGUCGCCAUCGCCGUUUGAGCCGCGUGGAUAUUCGGGAACGCGGACCUCGCCAUCGCUGUUCUGAGCAAGCCCGGAGCGCCGCCGUGGAUCGCGCCGCUGUUCCCGUCAAAUCCGGUGGAUCUUAGGCCGAACCGUCGCGCCACGAGAGUUGCCAAGAUGCCAGUAGCAAGCCCAUCGAAGGAAUCGAGCUGAGGCGUCGCCAUCGAGGAGAUCGAGCCCUUCUUCUUCAACUCCGGCCGCCGACCGUGGUCGUCGAUUCCUUGAUCCCGGCCCGGAGACCGGAUGGUGAUCGUCACCGUUGCCAUGCCGAUUUCCGCCGCCGCCGGGCCGUCUUCUCCACUGUCACCGCUGUUCAAGCCACUCCAAGCCGCGAUCAAGCUUCGAUAAUUUCUUAAGCGGUGAAGAAGUGAUUUAGGUGCUGACAUUUUCCAGUUACAAG